rnacentral:rRNA from 2 species
UCGGGCCUCGCGCUCUCGGAGCGGCCGAUGUCCGAAUAAGCUAAUUGGUGGGGUAAAGGCCCACCAAGGCGACGAUCGGUAGCGGGUCUGAGAAGACGAUCCGACACACUGGGACUGAGACACGGACCAGACUCCUACGGGAGGCAGCAGUGGGGAAUCUUGGACCAUGGGCGCCAGCCUGAUCCAGCAAUGCCGCGUGGGUGACGCCGGCCUUCGGGUUGUACAGCCCUUUCGGCGGGGACGAAAUCGGUCAGGCGACUAGUCUGGCUGGAUGACGGUACCCGCAGAAGAAGCACCGGCUAACUACGUGCCAGCAGCCGCGGUAAUACGUAGGGUUCGAGCGUUAAUCGGAAUUACUGGGCGUAAAGGGUGCGCAGGCGGCCCUGUAAGACCGGUGUGAAAUCCCCGGGCUCAACCUGGGAAUUGCGCUGGUGACUGCAGGGCUAGAGUACGGUAGAGGGGGGUGGAAUUCCUGGUGUAGCAGUGAAAUGCGUAGAGAUCAGGAGGAACACCGAUGGCGAAGGCAGCCCCCUGGGCCUGUACUGACGCUCAUGCACGAAAGCGUGGGGAGCAAACAGGAUUAGAUACCCUGGUAGUCCACGCCCUAAACGAUGAGAACUAGCCGUCUGGAGUCUUCGUGCUCUGGGUGGCGCAGCUAACGCGUGAAGUUCUCCGCCUGGGGAGUACGGCCGCAAGGUUAAAACUCAAAGGAAUUGACGGGGACCCGCACAAGCGGUGGAUGAUGUGGAUUAAUUCGAUGC